rnacentral:rRNA from 1 species
GGCUUACACAUGCAGUCGAGGGGUACGUGAAGCAAGCUUGCUUGCUUUGACGACGACCGGCGCACGGGUGAGUAACGCGUAUCCAACCUGCCCCUUACUACGGGACAGCCCGGCGAAAGUCGGAUUAAUACCGUAUGUGGUGUGAAGAGGGCAUCUGACUUACACUAAAGAUUCGUCGGUAAGGGAUGGGGAUGCGUCCGAUUAGGUUGUCGGGGCGGGGGUAACGGCCCACCGAGCCCGCGAUCGGUAGGGGUUCUGAGAGGAAGGUCCCCCACACUGGAACUGAGACACGGUCCAGACUCCUACGGGAGGCAGCAGUGAGGAAUAUUGGUCAAUGGGCGAGAGCCUGAACCAGCCAAGUAGCGUGAAGGGCAAGACCCUUUUGGGCCCUAUGGGUUGUAAACCUCUUUAGUCUGGGAAUCAAAGUUGGCGACGUGUCGCCUUUUGUAGGUACCAGAAGAAUAAGGACCGGCUAAUUCCGUGCCAGCAGCCGCGGUAAUACGGAAGGUCCGGGCGUUAUCCGGAUUUAUUGGGUUUAAAGGGAGCGCAGGCGGCCUGUUAAGCGGGCAGUUAAAGGCGGUGGCUCAACCAUCGUUAGCUGUCCGAACUGAUAGGCUUGAGUACGUGCGAGGUAUGCGGAAUUCGUGGUGUAGCGGUGAAAUGCUUAGAUAUCACGAAGAACCCCGAUUGCGAAGGCAGCAUACCAGUGCGCCACUGACGCUAAAGCUCGAAAGCGCGGGUAUCGAACAGGAUUAGAUACCCUGGUAGUCCGCGCGGUAAACGAUGGAUGCCCGCUGUGCGGCCUUUAGUGGUUGCGCGGCCAAGCGAAAGCGUUAAGCAUCCCACCUGGGGAGUACGCCGGCAACGGUGAAACUCAAAGGAAUUGACGGGGGCCCGCACAAGCGGAGGAACAUGUGGUUUAAUUCGAUGAUACGCGAGGAACCUUACCCGGGCUUGAAUUGCAGCUGCGGGGGCAGAGAUGUCCCUUCCCUUCGGGCUGCG